rnacentral:pre_miRNA from 1 species
AUAGUACUUCCUCCGUCCCAAAAUUCUUAUCUUAGAUUUGUCUAAAUACGGAUGUAUCUAAUUACGUUUUAGUGUUAGAUACAUCUGUAUCUAGACAAAUCUAAGACAAGAAUUUUGGGACGGAGUGAGUAAAGU